rnacentral:rRNA from 1 species
GAUUAACGCUAGCGGCAGGCCUAAUACAUGCAAGUCGAACGGGAUUUCGGGUAGCAAUAUCUGAAUGAGAGUGGCGCACGGGUGCGUAACACGUAUGCAGUCUGCCUCUGACUGGGGAAUAGCCUUCCGGAAGGAAGAUUAACACCGCAUAAAAUAAUGAAGUGGCAUCACUUUAUUAUCAAAACUCCGGUGGUCAGAGAUGAGCAUGCGUCCGAUUAGCUAGUUGGUGAGGUAACGGCUCACCAAGGCGACGAUCGGUAGGGGGGUCUGAGAGGAUGAUCCCCCACACUGGUACUGAGACACGGACCAGACUCCUACGGGAGGCAGCAGUAAGGAAUAUUGGACAAUGGUCGCAAGACUGAUCCAGCCAUGCCGCGUGAAGGAUGAAUGCCCUAUGGGUUGUAAACUUCUUUUAAACGGGAAAAAACCCCUCUACGUGUAGAGGGCUGAUGGUACCGUAAGAAUAAGGAUCGGCUAACUUCGUGCCAGCCGCCGCCGUAA